rnacentral:rRNA from 1 species
GACGAACGCUGGCGGCGUGCUUAACACAUGCAAGUCGAACGGAAAGGCCCUGCUUUUGUGGGGUGCUCGAGUGGCGAACGGGUGAGUAACACGUGAGUAACCUGCCCUUGACUUUGGGAUAACUUCAGGAAACUGGGCUAAUACCGGAUAGGAGCCUCCUCUUCCUGGGUGGGGUUGGAAAGUUUCGGCGGUUGGGGAUGGACUCGCGGCUUAUCAGCUUGUUGGUGGGGUAGUGGCUUACCAAGGCUUUGACGGGUAGCCGGCCUGAGAGGGUGACCGGCCACAUUGGGACUGAGAUACGGCCCAGACUCCUACGGGAGGCAGCAGUGGGGAAUAUUGCACAAUGGGCGGAAGCCUGAUGCAGCAACGCCGCGUGCGGGAUGACGGCCUUCGGGUUGUAAACCGCUUUCGCCUGUGACGAAGCGUGAGUGACGGUAAUGGGUAAAGAAGCACCGGCUAACUACGUG